rnacentral:rRNA from 1 species
CAGUAGCCGCGGUAAAACGAAGGGUGCAAGCGUUAAUCGGAAUUACUGGGCGUAAAGCGUGCGUAGGCGGUGAGUUAAGUCUGCUGUGAAAUCCCCGGGCUCAACCUGGGAAUGGCAGUGGAUACUGGCUCGCUAGAGUGUGUCAGAGGAUGGUGGAAUUCCCGGUGUAGCGGUGAAAUGCGUAGAGAUCGGGAGGAACAUCAGUGGCGAAGGCGGCCAUCUGGGACAACACUGACGCUGAGGCACGAAAGCGUGGGGAGCAAACAGGAUUAGAUACCCCAGUAGUCCCUGUCUCUUAUAC